UGAAAAAUCUUCUAUUUUCAUGCUAAUCACUGAUUACAAAUGGCCAUUUAAUAUUUCAGCUAUAUUUGAUAUAAACAAAUAUUGAAACAUGUCCAGACUAGCUAAAUAGCGCCUAUACAAAUUUAAAUGUAGUUCGUCCACUACUCCACUGGGCAGAUGGAAAAAAUGCUGUUUUAUUUCAGAAGCACUGCUAUUGGUCGAAAAAGAUCAAGUUUCAAGGACAAGGAACACCUCAAAGUUCCGAAAAAGCAAUCAAUCAGUCAGUCACAGCCUGUGACUCACAGGCCUGGUCACAUUAUAGAAAAUAUCGGAGACGGCUGUUACUGCUGUUCCUAAUAUUUUCUGUUCAUUGAAUAUUGCUAUUUGCCGAAUCAUGGGUGCAUGGAUUCGAAAAUCAUCAGGUCCCACGUCCUACUCCCAUACAUACAAAACCAUAGAAGUGCCAUAGAACAAGGCUUAUACAAACCUUACCACUUCAUGAGAAUAAAAUAUCUUCUCUCACUAAAACUCAGGCCAAUUGACAACGCCGCGGGGAAUUAAAAGGCACAAAGGCAGGCAGGUAUUUGCCUUUUUGCUUUGCUGAAAUAUCGAAAUCCCAGAUGUUGUAAUGGUACACAAAAUAUCCCCCUAGUCUAAAUAUGAAGUCAGGUAACUAAAAUUAAGUUUGUGUGUGUGUGCCUUUAAACAUUUUUAUAAUUUGGCAAAAAGUGGAUUGCUGUAAUUUCUUGAAACGUGCAUUAUUUUUGAAGCAAAAUUAACAUUUGAAGGUAUAAUCAGUGACAAAGUGGCAAAUGGUUAAAUUACUGUUUCAGUGCCUAGCAAAUUUUAGAAAAUGUCGAUACUAUUCUGAUGUACCUAAAUGGUCUGAUUGAUGAAAAAAAAUUAGAGCCACUUUGUCUUAUUGCCUCUAUGUUUUAGCAACAAAUUUUGAACAACUUUGGUCACAUAUAGAUUUACCUGACGUAUGGGAAUGCUCUCGAACAACACAGAGUCAAAGUUUUGUCGUUAAUAGUCCAGUAAGUUGUUCUGUUGGUAUUGAUUAUUUAUAUCAAAACUAUUUAUGUCUUCAGUAUGAAACCAGAUUGUCAUUACCAACUACUAGCAUUGUUGAAGAAAGUCAAAUUAAUCUUGAAUAGCCCAGUAAUCGUCUUAUUACUAUAGAUGGGGAAUGCUCUCGAACAACACAGAAUCAAAGUUUUGUCGUUAAUGGUCCAGUAAGUUGUUCUGUUGGUACUGAUAUAAAUAGUAUUCAGUAUGAAACCACAUUUUCAUUACCAAGUCCUAGCAUUGUUGAAGAAAGUCAAAUGAAUCUUGAAUGGCCCACCAAUCGUCGUAUUACUAUAGAUGGCACUCCAAAAUAUACCGAAGAGGUAUAUUAACUGAUGUUGGUGUAACCAGGAAAAAAAUGUUUACACCUAGAGCUCAACGAUUAUAUAAAACACUGAUCCGAUCAAAGUCAAAGAUAAGUAACAUGAGUAAAAAAAUGUAUGUAUAAAAACUAAUAGUGAUGCAGAUUUCAGAAACGCAACACGCCUACUCGAAAGCCUGCAGCGGCCGUACUUCACGUACACGCUGCAGGAAGAGAAGAAGCUGCAUGUAGUGAUUAGGGGGCUACCUAAUGACUACGACCCAGCAAACCAAAACUCUUGCAUACAUAUUAUGUAACCAAGUCGCACGCAUAGAUAAAGACGAGUAUGCAAAUAUUUGUGAUCCACACUGAACCGGUAACAAAAAAGAAAAUAUAAACUAUAUAUAAAUAUUAUCUUGUCAGAUUCAGAAAGCGCUAGAGAAUGGAUCUCUGAAUUCAAUGUAAAUACUAAAGUUUAUUUUUUGGUCUUCAGAGGAAAGUAUUCUGUAUUAUUGCAAUAGCUCAAGAUAUUAGUUUAGUUUGAGGGGAUAACCGGGUACAAAAUGUUAAAGGCUGAAAAGAUAGCUUGCUUUUAGCUAUGAGACUUAGUGUCAACUAAAUAACUAUUGAAUGCGUAAAGUAAGCACAUUAAAAGUGCUUCUUUAUGAUCACGGCAUCUGUGGAAAAAGUGCUUCUUUAUGAUCACGGCAUCUGUGGAAAAAGUGCCAGUUUUUGAUUCUUUCGAAUCAAACAAUUUUGUACCUGUUAUAAAUACAUGAUCAUUGUGCCAGUGAAGUUAUAAAGAAACUUUAACUGAAAACAAAAUUAUAGUAUAUACUUUCAUAAAAAACACGAGCGACUAUUUUAGUCAGGCUGAAAGGUAUAAUAACAGUGGUUCGUCUUUUAAAAUAAUAACAAAAGAAGUUGCUGUCUACACACUGGAUGAAAUUAAAUCAAACAAGUUUAUGUAAAAAAGUGUGUAUGUAUAUAUAAAAAGGUCAAGCGCUUUCGACAAUUACGUCAUCAUCAGCGCCAUCGUCUAAUUAAAAGUGAACAUCCUCAAGAGCACCAAACCGAACAUGUAAAACAAUAGUCAGAAAUGGUCUUGUAAUUGUAAGUGUAUUGUAGAAACAGACUGAAGUUGAAAUUAGAAUGAAAUUUAAUUAAGGAACUUGACUAGUCGGCCUUAACAGUAUGGCGACCAGUCUUAUACAUACAUACACACUUUUUUACAUAAACUUUUGAUUGAAUUUAAAUUAAUGCUGUUAUAAGACCAUUUUUGAUCCCAAUAUGUCAGAAAUAAGCAUUAUUUGAAUGAACAUAACAUUGAACAGUUGUAUGUAAUCAAAGUUCAUAAUGAAAUGCAUCCAGAAACAUGCCCAAACGUUUUGUAUCAAAGACUUCCUGAACAUCAGGAAUGAAUAAACUUUUGGCAGGAAGAGAAUAACUAAUUAAAAAUCUUGGAAAUUUAAUUUAUUGACUUAAAAUCCAUUUAACUUGCAACACAGUUAAACGCUGGCCAUAGAUUCUAGAAGUUCCUGUAACAAAAUAAAACAUGUUUUAGUUUUAUAAAUAAAUUACCGAAAAUUGUGCACAAUAUAAAUGAAAAACAUACUUCGCAAUAAGGCCGUCUCGCUUCGCGAGCCUGACAAUACAAUCAUCAGACUCUCCCAUCCUUCGAAUCGCUCCA